rnacentral:rRNA from 1 species
GAUGAACGCUGGCGGCGUGCCUAAUACAUGCAAGUCGAGCGAACAGAUGAGGAGCUUGCUCCUCUGACGUUAGCGGCGGACGGGUGAGUAACACGUGGAUAACCUACCUAUAAGACUGGGAUAACUUCGGGAAACCGGAGCUAAUACCGGAUAAUAUAUUGAACCGCAUGGUUCAAUAGUGAAAGACGGUUUUGCUGUCACUUAUAGAUGGAUCCGCGCCGCAUUAGCUAGUUGGUAAGGUAACGGCUUACCAAGGCGACGAUGCGUAGCCGACCUGAGAGGGUGAUCGGCCACACUGGAACUGAGACACGGUCCAGACUCCUACGGGAGGCAGCAGUAGGGAAUCUUCCGCAAUGGGCGAAAGCUUGACGGAGCAACGCCGCGUGAGUGAUGAAGGUCUUCGGAUCGUAAAACUCUGUUAUUAGGGAAGAACAAAUGUGUAAGUAACUAUGCACGUCUUGACGGUACCUAACCAGAAAGCCACGGCUAACUACGUG